CGCUAGCUACAGGCUUAACACAUGCAAGUCGAGGGGCAGCAUGGUCUUAGCUUGCUAAGGCCGAUGGCGACCGGCGCACGGGUGAGUAACACGUAUCCAACCUGCCGUCUACUCUUGGACAGCCUUCUGAAAGGAAGAUUAAUACAAGAUGGCAUCAUGAGUCCGCAUGUUCACAUGAUUAAAGGUAUUCCGGUAGACGAUGGGGAUGCGUUCCAUUAGAUAGUAGGCGGGGUAACGGCCCACCUAGUCUUCGAUGGAUAGGGGUUCUGAGAGGAAGGUCCCCCACAUUGGAACUGAGACACGGUCCAAACUCCUACGGGAGGCAGCAGUGAGGAAUAUUGGUCAAUGGGCGAGAGCCUGAACCAGCCAAGUAGCGUGAAGGAUGACUGCCCUAUGGGUUGUAAACUUCUUUUAUAAAGGAAUAAAGUCGGGUAUGGAUACCCGUUUGCAUGUACUUUAUGAAUAAGGAUCGGCUAACUCCGUGCCAGCAGCCGCGGUAAUACGGAGGAUCCGAGCGUUAUCCGGAUUUAUUGGGUUUAAAGGGAGCGUAGAUGGAUGUUUAAGAUAGAUGUGAAAGUAUGCGGCUCAUCCGUAAAAAUUGCAGCUGAUACUGGAUAUCGUGAGUGCAGUUGAGGCAGGCGGAAUUCGUGGUGUAGCGAUGAAAUGCUUAGAUAUCACGAAGAACUCCGAUCGCGAAGGCAGCNUGCUAAGCUGCAACUGACAUUGAGGCUCGAAAGUGUGGGUAUCAAACAGGAUUAGAUACCGUGGUAGUCCACACGGUAAACGAUGAAUACUCGCUGUUUGCGAUAUACUGCAAGCGGCCAAGCGAAAGCGUUAAGUAUUCCACCUGGGGAGUACGCCGGCAACGGUGAAACUCAAAGGAAUUGACGGGGGCCCGCACAAGCGGAGGUACAUGUGGUUUAAUUAGAUGAUACGCGAGGAACCUUACCCGGGCUUAAAUUGCAGAUGAAUUACGGUGAAAGCCAUAAGCCGCAAGGCAUCUGUGAAGGUGCUGCAUGGUUGUCGUCAGCUCGUGCCGUGAGGUGUCGGCUUAAGUGCCAUAACGAGCGCAACCCUUGUUGUCAGUUAAUAACAGGUUCCGCUGAGGACUCUGACAAGACUGCCAUCGUAAGAUGUGAGGAAGGUGGGGAUGACGUCAAAUCAGCACGGCCCUUACGUCCGGGGCUACACACGUGUUACAAUGGGGGGUACAGAGGGCCGCUACCACGCGAGUGGAUGCCAAUCCCCAAAACCUCUCUCAGUUCGGACUGGAGUCUGCAACCCGACUCCACGAAGCUGGAUUCGCUAGUAAUCGAGCAUCAGCCACGGCGCGGUGAAUACGUUCCCGGGCCUUGUACACACCGCCCGUCAAGCCAUGGGAGCCGGGGGUACCUGAAGUGCGUAACCGCGAGGAGCGCCCUAGGGUAAAACUGGUGACUGGGGCUA
rnacentral:rRNA from 1 species